CCACCUGAUGUAAUACUGGGAAUAUUAAAGUUGAUACCAUGCAGAGAUUAGCAUGGCCCCAUGCAAGGAUGACAUGAAAAUUCAUGAAGGGUUCCAUAUUUUU
rnacentral:snRNA from 1 species